UUUAAAGACCCCAUCCACGGUGGAGCGUGAAGAACUGCAGAAACCCUUGUCAAGAGUGUGGGAAAAUAGAAGAUAUGCCCUAUUUAUGUGUGUUCCCCAAGAAACCUACAGUCCAGCUGGCAAUAAAUGAAGAAAGGGCCGUGGUUUGCAAACAAAUCCCACUCACUUACUAAUACAGGCCCCCUUCCUCCGGAUGCCCACUCCUUCCAGGCCCAGUCAGCCCCAGAGGCCUGCAGAGACCCUCCUCCCCUCCCUCCCCUCCCUCCCCCUCCUCCCCCCCUUCCUCCUUACCCCCCUUCCUCCCCUCCUUGUUCCUCCUUCAAUUAAAGGUUAGUUAAUUGGAAAACAAUUACUUUCUGACUAUAUACUGCUUUUUAGUUGUUAAUCUCUCACCACCAGCCCCCCUUCCAACUUGUCUGGUUACCUCAGGAAAUGUUUUCAUGAUCACUUUCACUCUCAAGAGUUUAGAGCCAUAACAACAAAGCAAAACAAAAAUAACAAAAAAAUUCUGAUAUUGUUAUAGUCUUAGAUGAAUGGAAAUGGUGUUUAAUGGAAAAAUAUAACCUUUGAUGAACCAGAAGUUCUUUUCUGAAUCUUCACAGACUCCACCUCCUUUCUUUAUGUGGCUUCCCAACAAGUUGCAUUCAGUACUAUUAAAUGAAGGCUCUACUCUCUUCCUAGUUUGGUAACAUUACUCCUUUCUUUUUUUUCCUCCACCACUUUUCAACUGUUAUGAGGAAGCAGAAUUUUAAAAUCUGACCUGAUAAGUUAACCACUUUAUGUCAUUGUUUUUUGUAAACAAUGUGUAACACGUUUAAAAUCUGAAAGGUAUUAGAUUCCACAUGAUCACGAGACCGGCAAACUUAGAACACAGCAGAAAUACUGUGAACACAGGGAAAGACUGUGAAGCCGCUGCAUGAUUAAUUGUCAGAUUGCACUAGUAUUGGGUUUAGAGGAAGAAGUGAUCGCUGGGCUAGAGGGAUCUGAAAAGGUUAGACUCUUAAACGUGGGGUGGCAUUUAGAAAAGUGUUUUCAGGAGUUAAGAGAAGGGAGACGCUAUUGUUCUGAACUGAGGCUGUAUCCUAGAAUGUUUUUUAAUACCUUUGUCCAGAAAGCAGCACUGCCCACACACCACAAAGUCUGUGUGUGUAUCCCCUUCCUUGUCUUGCCCUCAUUUCCUCUCUCUCACCUCACAGUCUGUCUCUCCUGAAGCCGGGCCCCCAAGCCUCCACCUCCAUGGCCUGCAGUAGUUGAGAGAAGCAGCAGAAGGCUGAGAACAGAAACAAGGAUGAAGCUGUGCCGUGCUUGUAAACUGCGCGGAGUCGGAAAGCAAGCUGGGUUUGCGAGAAGCUGUCUUCAUCCACAUUUCACAGAUGAGGGAAUGGUCCUCAGAACAGCUUGUCCCUCUCUCCAACCUCCAGCCAGAGAAAGGAAGCCUGGGCUGGACCUGCCUGGUCCCUGAGCUGGUGUCAGAAAAUCCUCUGCAACAACAACAUGACAGGAGAAGGGAGACUAUAAGCCACUGCGAUCCCGGGCCCAGCACAGCACCUGGAGCUCCUUCAUCGUUAAGUAAUUGGCAUUAUGUAAAAAGAUCCAAGUAGUAGGUCAGGGACAGGGAAAGGAGCAGGGGCAUAUAAGAAAAAGAAAAAUGCAAAUGUUCAGAGUUCCCUGGUGGCCUGGCAGGUUAAAGACCUGGCAUUGCCACGGCUGUGGCUCGGGUUGUUGCUGUGGCAAGGGUUAAGUCCCUGGCCUAGGAACUUCUGCUUGCCUUGAGUGUGGCCAAAAAAAAAAAAAA
rnacentral:lncRNA from 1 species